CACACACACACACACACACACACACACACACACACACACACACACACACACACACACACACACACACACAGGCAGGUACCGGCGGGGACAAACUUUGCAACCCAAUCAACAACAAUUUCUGUACAAACAAGUUCUCUCCCUUUUCCCUUUCCUCCCACUCUUUCCCUCUUUGCUUUCCCUUCCUUCUCUCCUCUCCCCGGGCCUUUCCCUCCACGCCAAUUGCUCCCUCAAAUCACAGGUCCUUGGCAAAAUCACGCAAGCACUCACUCCUGGAAACUGGAGAAAAAUGGAGACCGUCAAAAAGCAAAAUUAAAAUACUGGCUUUGAAAAUUUAUACCUCCUGUCGAAAUAUUGUUUUCUCCCAGGCUACUUUUGUACUCCAGGUGGUGCUGAUCCCAAGGGAAGGCAAGGGUCAGUUGGGAACAUGAAGGGGACGAGGGAGUGGCUGGAGUAGCGGGCGAGAAGGCAUGGACAAGGGGGCGGGAAGUUAGCGCAAGAGCCAAGCAGUGAUGUGUAGUUUUGCGCCAGGAACAAUCUCAGUUUCGUUGUGGCAGCUUUAAUACGUCAAGGAAGGGAAUGAUUCAAGUCAGGCUGGGGAAGAGAGAGAUAAUAUGAUCCUUGACGCAAAGUUCGACGCUCCUUGUACGCCUGCUUAGUAUAUAAAAUGGCAAGAUAUUAAGAAAAAUACACACAUGAAAGCGAAUUAGCAUUAUGGUAUACAAAAUACAAAGUUAGGUAUCACAUUGCUACUUGAGUUUCAUGAUCUGUAUAUCUGGCAACGCGGCGCCAUCAGGGAUGGAAUGGUGCAUACAAAUAAGGAACAUUUCAUCACGAAUGAGUCAAGACGAACAUACAAAUUUCCAUGCUGUUCAAAACUACUCACAUAAAGUUCAGUCGAGUCUGUAAGUAUAUGAAUAAAAACAGAUUACCGGGCGGCAUAAAAGCAAACAUGAAAAAAAGAAGAAAACGCGAUAACUUUUUGGUUUUAAACUGCUUUUUGUUGCCAGCUAAAUUUUACGACGAAUAACAGGGAAGAUAAAAUAAAGAAAAGAAAAAGAUACCAUACACGAGAAAAGGGAAAAAAAAAACAGCAAUAAACCAAAUUUUAGGAGGCUUGGAGCAAAAUACGUGCUGGAGGAGAAGUCUUGUUUUGGAAUAUUCUGUAUUCACAAACUUUGUCUGCUUCUACUCACUUGGAAUCUAAAUAUGAAUGUGAUUAAUAUUCCCCGAGAGAGAGGCGCCGCCGGGGUGUCGCCAGGUCGUGAAGAUCCAAGUUGUAAUGGAAGGAACGGAAGGGUACUCGCGCGCCGCUCCUGUUAGUGACGGGGAGAACACCAGGGGAAAAAAGGAUCGAGGCAGAGAGGAAACAGCAACGCACUGACGACACCAGCGAGAUAAUGGAACAAAAAGACAGCCAUCCCCAAAGGGCUCUGCAUGGCCCAGCUGGGUAACAUACCAGCGAAAAUUAAACAACAAGACAACACAUUCAUAUCGUCAAGACACAUCUCGUAAUUAUGGUUAUUGUUUGUGGCCAAUUCUCUUUUGAGACUGGCAGCUUCAGUGGCUCUUUUUUUGCCGUCUUUUUGUUGCCCUCGGCCAGAACCCCUCUUGCAUAAAAAGGAGUCAAGCAAGCCCACAUGAAAGGACGAGAGACAAAAGACGCCAAGCAAUUAUAGAAACAUUACAAGUGACGCGGAAAGAAAACGAGAGAAAAAAAGGGUCGAGGCAGAGGGAGGGAGAACCGCACCACAUUCAUGUAGUCAGGCAAGCAUGAAAAGACGCGAGGCAAAAGACGCUCAACAAUUAUAGAAACAUUACAAGAGCAUAAAACCAAAUAAAGUAAAAAGAAAAGACUUCGUCAUUGUUAUUCUCGUAAUAAAAAAAAAAAAAAGUCUGAUAGCAUCAAGUUAUUUUGUCUGGAGCAUCGCGACAUAGAUAAGAACAAAGAAGAAAGCUUAGAACACAACAAGGACGUGGUGAACACAGAACAACAAUGCAGCAAUACAAAAAAAGAAAAAGAAAAGUCAGACAUUCACAAGCUACGAUUUUCCAGUCUCGGAUACACUCAAGAAAAAAAGAAGCUUACAACACAGCAAGGAGGCGGCGAACCCAACAGCAUAGCAACACAGCAGGCAGAAGACACUCCCCCAGGCUGUGUCAGCUGGAAUGACAGGAGCCCGUGACAACAAGGCCAGGCGACGCUGCUGCCCGCACUUAGUCUUUUCUGGAGACCUCAGCACCCCAACGCUGGACUUCGUGGCUGCAAUGAUGCUGAGGAGGGCAGGCCGCGGGAAAGUGAGCGCCAGGAAAAUUAAGCAUGCAAGGAAGACCAGGAAGGGAAACAAGACAAAGAAGAAGGAAACGAAGCAGGAGAAAAAAGAACAGGUACCGAGUUUUCUUUCUCUUUCUUAGC